rnacentral:miRNA from 1 species
CUCCUCCACGAUCGUCGGAUCCU